rnacentral:rRNA from 1 species
AACGCGAAGAACCUUACCAGCCCUUGACAUGUCCUCUAUGGAUUCCAGAGACGGAAUCCUUCACUUCGGGUGGGAGGAACACAGGUGCUGCAUGGCUGUCGUCAGCUCGUGUCGUGAGAUGUUGGGUUAAGUCCCGCAACGAGCGCAACCCUCGGCCUUAGUUGCCAUCAUUCAGUUGGGCACUCUAGGGCGACUGCCGGUGAUAAGCCGGAGGAAGGUGGGGAUGACGUCAAGUCCUCAUGGCCCUUACGGGCUGGGCUACACACGUGCUACAAUGGCGGUGACAGAGGGACGCAAAAGGGCGACCUUUCGCAAAUCUCAAAAAGCCGUCUCAGUUCGGAUUGGGGUCUGCAACUCGACCCCAUGAAGUUGGAAUCGCUAGUAAUCGCAGAUCAGCACGCUGCGGUGAAUACGUUCCCGGGCCUUGUACACACCGUAGUAC